rnacentral:siRNA from 1 species
UCGCAAAAGCUCUUAGGUUUGUG